AUUGAACGCUGGCGGCAGGCCUAACACAUGCAAGUCGAACGGUAACAGGAAACAGCUUGCUGUUUCGCUGACGAGUGGCGGACGGGUGUGUAAUGUCUGGGAAACUGCCUGAUGGAGGGGGAUAACUACUGGAACCGGUAGCUAAUACCGCAUAACGUCGCAAAACCAAAUAUGGGGACCCUCGGGCCUAUUUGCAUCGGAUGUGCCCAGGUGGGAUUUGCUUGUUGGUGGGGUAACGGCUCGCCAAGGCGACGACCCCUAGCUGGUCUGAGAGGAUGACCAGCCACACUGGAACUGAGACACGGUCCAGACUCCUACGGGGGGAAGCAGUGGGGAAUAUUGCACAAUGGGCGCAAGCCUGAUGCAGCCAUGCCGCGUGUAUGAAGAAGGCCUUCGGGUUGUAAAGUACUUUCAGCGGGGAGGAAGGGAGUAAAGUUAAUACCUUUGCUCAUUGACGUUACCCGCAGAAGAAGCACCGGCUAACUACGUG
rnacentral:rRNA from 1 species